GAUGAACGCUGGCGGCGUGCCUAAUACAUGCAAGUCGAGCGAACAGACGAGGAGCUUGCUCCUCUGACGUUAGCGGCGGACGGGUGAGUAACACGUGGAUAACCUACCUAUAAGACUGGGAUAACUUCGGGAAACUGGAGCUAAUACCGGAUAAUAUAUUGAACCGCAUGGUUCAAUAGUGAAAGACGGUUUUGCUGUCACUUAUAGAUGGAUCCGCGCCGCAUUAGCUAGUUGGUAAGGUAACGGCUUACCAAGGCAACGAUGCGUAGCCGACCUGAGAGGGUGAUCGGCCACACUGGAACUGAGACACGGUCCAGACUCCUACGGGAGGCAGCAGUAGGGAAUCUUCCGCAAUGGGCGAAAGCCUGACGGAGCAACGCCGCGUGAGUGAUGAAGGUCUUCGGAUUGUAAAACUCUGUUAUUAGGGAAGAACAAAUGUGUAAGUAACUAUGCACGUCUUGACGGUACCUAAUCAGAAAGCCACGGCUAACUACGUG
rnacentral:rRNA from 1 species